GAUGAACGCUGGCGGCGUGCUUAACACAUGCAAGUCGAACGGAAAGGCCCUGCUUUUGUGGGUUGCUCGAGUGGCGAACGGGUGAGUAACACGUGAGUAUCCUGCCCUUGUCUUUCGGAUAACUUCAGGAAACUGGGGCUAAUAUAGGAUAGGAUAUCCUGCACCAUGGUGGGCAUUGGAAAGUUUCGGCUGUUGGGGAUGGACUCGCGGCUUACCAGCUUGCUGGUGGGGUAGUGGCUUACCAAGGCUUUCACGGGUAGCCGGCCUGGGAGCGUGACCGGGGACAAUGGGACUGCGAGAGGGACCAGACGCCAACGGGCGGCAGCAGUGGGGAGUCUUGCACAGUGGGCGGGAGCGUGAGGCGACGGCGUCGCGUGCGUGAUGACGGCCUUCGGGUUGUGAACAGCUUUCGCCUGUGACGAAGCGGGAGUGACGGUAAUGAGUAAAGAAGCACCGGCUAACUACGUG
rnacentral:rRNA from 1 species